CCUCUUUUAUUAUAUCUUCUCCAUUUCGAUAUCAAUGGCCGCGCUUGCUGCUGGAUAUCAAUACCUCUGAUCGUUUCCCGUUUGCUGCUGGAUCUUCUCUCUGUGAGAAUUUUUAAUUGGCUUAUUUUUCAGAGUGAUUUUGCUUCGAAUCAGCUAAGCUUUACCUCGGUUGCAGUUAGAUGUGAGCAGAAGCAAUGGUUUAGAUGCCUGGCUUUGCUUCCGAUUUCAUAACGGGACAAGGAAUUCUCGAGAAUUUUGCCAAGGGGCUAUCGCAGUUUUGGUGGGAGUUCUUAAAGCAAUCUCCAUCUUCCAAUGUGCAUCAGAGAGUUAAUCAGCCACACAAAAAGGGAAAAACAGGAGAAGCCCUUCAUUUUCCAUAUAGUAGAGACAAUCAAUAAGUCUAUACUUAUUCCCUCCUCCCAAAAAAGCAGUAUCCCUCACCCAUCCCUUGCAUGUUAUGGCCACCACGGGACACACCAGGGUGGCCUCGGCUGCAGCAUUGGUUGUGGUGGCGAUGAUCCUCUGCUCGGCGAUCCCGGGGGCAGGGGCAACCAUGUUCCCGGAGGUGGAAAUAACGCUGGCUAACGAUGGGGAGAACCCGGUGUGGUUCAUGUGCCAGAUGACUGAGAAGGGGGACUCCCUGUACGAGCUGCCCCCAAACAGCACGUACAGGUUCAACUUCACGCACGUGGCCUUCCCGAUGCGGUGGUGCUACAUGUACAUCCACCCGGGCAGCCAGGGCUUCUUCUGGGUGUACACGGUGCGAUCCAGAUGCACCAAGUGCUUCUGGAGCAUCGACAAGCACCCUUCUCUCUACCGCAACGACAUCGGCCGGUGGGAGAGGCAGAAGCUCUUCAUGCCGCCUUCUUUCAAUAUCUCCAAUUUCUUGCUUAAUGAUACUCAAUCUGCCAGAUAAGAUAUAUAUAAUCAAUAUGCACAUCGCUCUGUUUUUUUGUAUUGUCGUCUGAUUGGUUUUGUAUCUUUCCAUCAUUUAUCCUAUAUUGAUAUUGAUUUCAUUUUA